AAAUCUUCAUUUUUUAGCAAUGGAUGUCCAAAACAACUUUCUGAUGAUUACUAGCACUGACGAAUCUCCAGUCAAUGGUCAGGUGGGCAAUUACACCCACAGCAAGAUCACGCGCUCUGAUUUUCCCCCUGAUUUUGCAUUUGGUGCUGCGACUUCAGCCUAUCAGAUUGAAGGUGGAUGGAAUGCAGGAAGUAAAGGCCUGAGUAAUUGGGAUGUUUUCACACAGAAACAACCUGGUGGCAUUUCUGACGGUAGCAAUGGCUGUGUUGCUAUUGAUCACUAUAAUAUGUUCCGGGAAGAUGUGGCAUUGAUGAAGAAAAUGGGUUUCAAUUCAUACAGAUUUUCAAUUGCAUGGACUAGAAUUUUACCAGGAGGGAGACUAUGUACUGGCGUAUGCAAAGAAGGAAUUCAAUUCUAUAACGAUCUCAUUGACGCACUCUUGGCUGCAGGCAUUGAGCCAUAUGCAACAAUCUUUCAUUGGGAUAUUCCCCAAUGUUUGGAAGAAGAGUAUGGUGGCUUCCUGAAUGAUCAAAUUGUGAAGGAUUUUUGUGAGUUUGCGGAGAUUUGCUUCUGGGAAUUCGGUGAUCGAGUAAAAUAUUGGAUCACAUUGAAUGAGCCAUGGUCCUAUAGUGUUUCUGGAUAUGCUAUUGGCUCUUUCCCACCUAAUCGCGGUAAAGCUCCAACUACUACAGGAGAGGCCAAAAAGAUUUCCAUCCUUCAUAGAUGUGUAUUUAGAUCUCAUAUUGCUCGCAAGUAUGGAGAUCCCGGGAGAGAACCAUAUAUUGUUGCACACAAUUUGAUCUUUCUCAUGCUUAUGCGGUGGAUAUAUAUAGGAGAAAAUAUCAGGAAAGUCAAGGAGGUAAGAUAGGGAUGACAAAUAACAUUCAGUGGCAUGAGCCUCUUACUGACUCUCAAGAAGAUCAAGAUGCUGCUACUAGGGGAAAUGAUUUUAUGCUUGGAUGGUUUGUAGAACCGUUAGUAACUGGAGACUAUCCGGAAAGUAUGAUAAAAAAUGUUGGCAAACGUCUUCCGAAGUUCACAGAAAAAGAGGAGAAGCUAGUGAAAGGAUCCUAUGACUUUUUAGGCAUAAACUAUUACACAUCUAUUUAUGCCUCCGAUGAUCCAUCAAAGAAUACAACUGAAAGUUACCUCACCGAUACACAAGUUUUGACUUCAGCUGAACGUAAUAAGGUGCCAAUUGGUGCAAAGGCUGGUUCUGAUUGGUUGCACAUAGUUCCGUGGGGAAUUUACAAGCUCAUGUUGGAUAUGAAGGAAAGAUAUAAUGAUCCAAUCAUUUAUAUCACAGAGAAUGGGGUGGACGAAGAGAACGAUAAGUCCAUAAAUUGUACACAGGCUCUCUCAGAUGAUAUGAGGAUUCACUAUCACCAAGAACAUCUCUACAACCUUAAAAAAGCAAUGGACGGCAAAAAUGGAAAAGAUGGAGUAAAGGUGAAGGGUUACUUCAUAUGGUCUUUGUUUGAUAAUUUUGAAUGGGCUGCUGGAUAUAGCGUCAGAUUUGGUAUAAUUUAUGUAGACUAUAAUAAUGGCCGUUAUACAAGGUUGCCAAAACGAUCAGCUGUGUGGUGGAGGAAUUUCCUCAGCAAGAAGGCUGAAACUCCAUUAAUGAAAGAAGCUGAGAAACGUGAAGAUCGUCGUAAAAGGCUUAGAGGUGACUAAUUAAGCUCAUAAAAAUUAGCGCUUCCUUAAUGUUAUGUUGAAUAAUGCAUUGUUGCAAUUGUUACCUUUAGUUUGUUUUCUUCUCGUCUUUCUUGUGGGUUGAGAAAGCCAUAUUUCAACUUGCCCUGUUGUGUUCAAAUAAAAGGAGCUGGCCAGUGAGGUUUCGAGCCCAACUCUCUGUUGCUUCCAGUUCUCUUUAAUUUUAUGAAAAAUGUGUUGUCCAACGGCUCUAAAUGAGAUAGCGAAGAAACUUUAAAACAAAUAAAAUAAAUUAUAGAUUUCCAUCCUAACAUGUAAUUCUUGACUGGAAAAAUCCUUUGGACAUUAUGCACUAGUUCAACUUUCAUAUUAAUUUCGUCAUCUCAGUCAAUGUUUCUGUAUUUGAUUUGAGCAGCUUAAA